CCUACGGGCGGCAGCAGUGGGGAAUAUUGGACAAUGGGGGGAACCCUGAUCCAGCCAUGCCGCGUGUGUGAAGAAGGCCCUCGGGUUGUAAAGCACUUUCAGUGAGGAAGAACGCCUGGUGGUUAAUACCCAUCAGGAAAGACAUCACUCACAGAAGAAGCACCGGCUAACUCCGUGCCAGCAGCCGCGGUAAUACGGAGGGUGCGAGCGUUAAUCGGAAUUACUGGGCGUAAAGCGCGCGUAGGUGGCUUGAUAAGCCGGUUGUGAAAGCCCCGGGCUCAACCUGGGAACGGCAUCCGGAACUGUCAAGCUAGAGUGCAGGAGAGGAAGGUAGAAUUCCCGGUGUAGCGGUGAAAUGCGUAGAGAUCGGGAGGAAUACCAGUGGCGAAGGCGGCCUCCUGGACUGACACUGACGCUGAGGUGCGAAAGCGUGGGUAGCAAACAGGAUUAGAUACCCUAGUAGUC
rnacentral:rRNA from 1 species